rnacentral:lncRNA from 1 species
AAAAAGGCAAAACUACGUUGUUUUGAUAAAUGUUUACAUUUUCCGAAGUAAAAAGUCAAAACCAUUAUAUUAAAAGGCAAAACUAUGUUAUUUUGAUAAAUGUUUACCCAUAAACCUUACUUAUGUAGUUAAACGCAACAUUGAGUAUAAAUUAUAAGAUUCAUUAACUAGACUAAAUUGAUAUUUUAUGACUCGAUUCGAUUCAACUCAGUUGAACACCC